rnacentral:tRNA from 1 species
GGCAGUGUAACAUAAUGGGUAAGGAACUGGGCUUGUAACCUAAAGGUCAUCAGUUCGAUUCCUGGUUAGGACACUGCCG